rnacentral:rRNA from 1 species
AUGGCGCCAUCAGUGAGGGAUCGCACCAUGUACAGGCACCACCUCUGCUUCCUUCUUCUUUCGUCCACGGCCACCCUCUCCGCCGCUGUCACGGCUUCCUCUUACUCCACCGCCUGUCCCUCCCUGGCACCGGCUCAGGACCGGCACACCGACGGCGACGACGCCGUUGCACUCAUCCGCUCCUUCCAAAUCUCCGGCGGCCAGUUCUCGGGAGGCGCAGACGGCCUGUUUUCCCCCGACGACGACCCCUACAAAGCCCGCCCGUUUCACUUCCUUCCACACGGCGCGUCCCGCACGGACAACCCGGCUCUCGUCCACCUCACCGGCACCUUGACCCUCUUUGGCCCCCGCAGCUGGCGCCGUGGAGGCCACCAGUAUUACAGCGAGGCCGCGUCCAUCGCCUUCGUCCUCGACGGUUACCACUCCUCGGCCUCGCUCGAGCUCUGCAUGGUCGGGACCGGCACCGAGCACGCCGCCGACGGUUCUCUCAAGCUGUACCAUGACGUCGUCCUCCGCCUCCAUGUCCCCAGCCCUCCCAGCCUCGCCGAUCCUUUCGUGUCCGGUAGCAUGGAGGGCUCCUCCGACCUCGGGACCAUCCACCUCCUCGCGUACGCAGAGGGCGACCACUACAAGUACGACUCCAAGCGUGCGGCCUGCAGCCCCGGCCCAUCGAGGCUGCCGGCUAUUGGCUCGCUCCGGGCGCUCGGCGGUGUCAACUCUGUGUGCGCCCACCUUAAAGAACAGCUCAUGAUCUCCUACAGGCUGGAUCAUGGCCGCGCCCUGUUUCCGCGGAUGCGCGUCAACCAGAUGCAGUGCAGCGCGGACGGCGCCGCCUUGCACGCAUAUGCGGUGCUCUUCAAUGACACCAGGCCGACCGAGAGGGGCUACCGUCGACGUCGUUUCUUGGUCGGCGAUGAGGCCUUGGUGGCCGACGGGCACUGGGACCCGUCUAGGCGCAUGCUCUGCCUCAGGGCGUGCCGGGUUACGCUACCGGCGCCGGCGUCUGCUCCGGUGGUCGACUGCGGGAUCGGGAUGAGCUUAUGGUUCCCCGCGGUGUGGACAAUGCGGGAACGGAGAGCCGUGGCCGGGAUGCUCUGGAACUCUAGCCAAGCGGACGGUGAACAGAUCCACGAUGUGAUGUCGAUCAUCGACGACCAAAGAAGCAACACCAACAUCUCCGACGUGAAGUACAGCUACAACGACACGAUGCUGGAGGAGGCCAAGAAACAUCACCAGGAGAUGAGCAAGGGGCAGAAGAUCACAUGGUCAGACUCUUUCCCAGAUUUCAACUCUAGUAACGGUGACGCUGAGUUUAGUUUCCAAGCGCUAGACAUCAGGGGACAAGCCUACCCAGUCACAGUCGGCUCGGGGAUGAUCGCCGACAAUAUUCUGGCCGAAGACGAUGCCUCCUCCAGGCGUUGGGUGGUCUACGGGAGCAUGCCCACCGCCGCCGCGGCCCGGCGUGCGGUGGUUGACGACAUGACGGAGGACCUGCUGAAUGUCAGCUAUGUCAUACGCUACUCUGCUCCACGUGACAAGAUCAGGAUGCAUCCUAGCAAUGUGGCCUACCACUCAAACUAUAGCGUUGAGAAAAGAAAGAUCUUGGCAGAGGGUAUUUAUGAUCGGAAGAGGGGCAUCUUGUGCAUGGUCGGCUGCCAGGAGGGCAACGGUGGCUCAACGGACUGUCAGACACUGGUAACGGUGCAGUUCGCUUCCUUUGAUUCCAAGGCACCGGAGCACGGAACUGGAGCGAUCAGCAGCCUCAGAGACAAGACCGAUCGCCUCUUCUUCGAGAAGAUCAACUUCACCUUGCACGGGAUGUACUCCGCGCAAGUGACAAACGCUAUAUCGAGGAUGGAUAUGGAAAGCGUCAUGCUUGUGGCCUCGACGACGCUCUCGUGUGUCUUCACCAUCCUGCAGAUCCUUCACACCAAGAGGAACCCGGAGGUGGCUCCGGCGACGUCCAUAACCAUGCUCGCCGUGCUCACCAUGGGGUUCCUCGCCCCUCUCGUGCUCAACUCGGAGGCCCUGUUCGCAAGCAGGAGGAGCCAGUACUAUGAAUUGCACCCCGCGAGCCGGAGGAUCGAGAUGAACGAGGUCAUGAUGAGGGCGCCUACACUGAUCGCCUUCGUGCUGCAGCUACGCCUUCUCCAGCUCGCAUGGUCUGGCCGACGUACAUCCAUCAUGUCCGAGCGGACCGUGUUAUGGAUAUGCCUGCCGUUGUACGCACUCGGAGGAGUCGUGGCCGGGGCUGCCAGUGUGAUCAACUCCGGCGCUUCGACAAUCGGCAUGGGUGCAUGGCGGGUGACGAUCUGGCAGGACCUUGUGUCGUACGCGGGGCUGAUACUGGAUGGCUUCCUGCUCCCGCAGGUCAUCCUGAACGCGUCCUUGGGAGGGUCCAGAGCUCGGGCGAUCUCACCGUGGUUUUACAUGGGGGGCACCAUGCUCCGCUUGAUGCCUCAUGUGUAUGAUGUAGUCAGGGCCCAGACCUACACGCCGAGCAUGCGCUCUUCCAACCUAUACGCGAGCCCCCACGACGAUCUGUUCGGCGUCGCUUGGGACAUGGUUAUACCGUGCGGGGCGGCGUUGCUGGCCUUUCUGUUGUUCUUGCAGCAGCGGCUUCCAGGCACCGAGUCACUUCCUUCGCAGAAGAGGAAAUCGAGUGGAUAUGAGAUGGUCUCUAACAUUUAA